rnacentral:snRNA from 1 species
AUAAAUGCCUGGCAGGGGAGACAUCAUGAUUAGGGAGGUGGUUUUCACAGCCAGAAGUUCACCUCCUGCACUCCAAGUGUGCUGAUCACUGUGAUUUUUCUCCCAAAUGAGGGAAACUUGCUGUGUAAUUUGUGGUAGUGGGGGACUGUGUUCACAAAGACUGUGG